rnacentral:rRNA from 1 species
UACGUAGGGUGCAAGCGUUAAUCGGAAUUACUGGGCGUAAAGCGUGCGCAGGCGGUGAUGUAAGACAGUUGUGAAAUCCCCGGGCUCAACCUGGGAACUGCAUCUGUGACUGCAUCGCUGGAGUGCGGCAGAGGGGGAUGGAAUUCCGCGUGUAGCAGUGAAAUGCGUAGAUAUGCGGAGGAACACCGAUGGCGAAGGCAAUCCCCUGGGCCUGCACUGACGCUCAUGCACGAAAGCGUGGGAGCAA